rnacentral:rRNA from 1 species
UAUCGGAUUGAUACUAAGCCAUGCGAGUCAUUGUAGCAAUACAAGGCAGACGGCUCAGUAACGCGUAGUCAAUCUACCCUAUGGACGGGAAUAAUCUCGGGAAACUGAGAAUAAUACCCGAUAGAACAUUAUGCCUGGAAUGGUUUAUGUUUUAAAUGAUUUAUCGCCGUAGGAUGGGACUGCGGCCUAUCAGUUUGUUGGUGAGGUAAUGGCCCACCAAGACUAUUACAGGUACGGGCUCUGAGAGGAGUGGCCCGGAGAUGGGUACUGAGACACGGACCCAGGCCCUAUGGGGCGCAGCAGGCGAGAAAACUUUGCAAUGUGCGAAAGCACGACAAGGUUAAUCCGAGUGGUUUCUGCUAAAGAAACCUUUUGUUAGUCCUAGAAACACUAGUGAAUAAGGGGUGGGC